rnacentral:rRNA from 1 species
GACGAACGCUGGCGGCGUGCUUAACACAUGCAAGUCGAACGGUGAAGGGACCAGCUUGCUGGUUCUGGAUGAGUGGCGAACGGGUGAGUAACACGUGAGUAACCUGCCCCCUUCUUCUGGAUAACCGCAUGAAAGUGUGGCUAAUACGGGAUAUUCUGGGUCUGUCGCAUGAUGGGCCCGGGAAAGAUAUUGUUUCGGUGGGGGAUGGGCUCGCGGCCUAUCAGCUUGUUGGUGGGGUGAUGGCCUACCAAGGCGGUGACGGGUAGCCGGCCUGAGAGGGUGGACGGUCACACUGGGACUGAGACACGGCCCAGACUCCUACGGGAGGCAGCAGUGGGGAAUAUUGCACAAUGGGCGCAAGCCUGAUGCAGCGACGCCGCGUGAGGGAUGGAGGCCUUCCGGUUGUAAACCUCUUUCGCCAGUGAAGCAGGCCUGCUCCUUGUGGGUGGGUGACGGUAGCUGGAUAAGAAGC